GAACAGAUAAGGAUGGUCGAGAAGGUCACCGAGCACAUAGCCAGCUAAUGAAUGGGAAAGUGUGAAGAACUUCAGACCGCACCAGAAUGAAAAGGCACAGCCUGAGGAUGGCAGGCAGGAAUGUCAGGUUUUAGCAGAACUCCCGACAAUCAUUGUGUUCUGUUGGUCCCCAUGCCCACCUGGUCCUGCCAAGCCUUCCCGUAUCUGCAAUGGGAAUAUCUGAACCAGAAGAAAACUGGAAAUCAUUUCAAGGAAGUAUGUAUCAAGUGGAGGCAGAUGCCAGAGUGUCAGAACACAGCUUACGACCCUGGUGCAGACUGAAAUCAAGCCAAGACAUCAACAGCCAGCACUGACAGUGUGGGUGAGGAGAGGGGUGUGGCUGUGUCACCCCGAAAGCUGCUUAACUCCUAAGAGACUGAACUAUGACCAAGAGCCUGUAGCAAGGGUGAAGUGCAUUGCUGGAUCUCUGGAAGGUAGAGUGGAUCACGCAGGAAGAAUCAGAUCCUAGGCACUCAUGGCCAGCUGGAAUGAUGACGUUGGCCUUGUUAAUUUUAAGAAGGUAGCCUGGGUAAGUUGAGGCCAUAUGUAAAGAUAUCUGAAAAUCUAGCGAUGUUCUUGAAGUAACAUGUUCGUGUGAUCUUUCAGUAAACAGAACCACUGGCUUGGGUCCUCUCAGUGAAUAAGAAACUGUGUUGCUGGGUUAUUUAUGAUAAAUGUCAAGAUCUCAUCCAGGACCAGGAGGUAUAGAAUGGCAACAUCAUCUUUCAGUUAAAAGAUGUUUGUGGCCUCAGUAUAUCAAAACACACUUCUACUCUAGUCUUGCUCUCAUCAGCAAGAAAACCUGUGAGCCACAGUUGAGGACAGUACUCAGAAUAAUAGGUAUGAUAGUUACUUUGUGAUACGUUGACACUCAAAUACACAGAAUAAUAAGCAUGAUAGUUACUUUGUAAUACUGUGACAAAAUAGAGACAGAAACUUUAGGGUUCUUAAGUCUCAGGGGAUGGAACUCAUCACAGUGAGAAAGGCUUCCCAGAGCCACGAGGAGCCAAGAAGCAGAAACCUACAUUCCCUAACUCUGCCCCAUCUCCCAAAGAUUAUACAGCCCCAGAAUAGAGUCACCAGCUGGAGAACAAUCAUUCAAACCUCGGGACUGAGAGAGGACAUUUCAUGUUCAAACCACAGCAACUAAUACACAAAGUGUUAAAGUGAAAGUAAUCCGGCCGAGUCUUACAGAAUGCAGUGGGGUUUAACAGAUACUUUCAAUUACGUGGCAAACUUAUUUUUAUGGACUAAGACAUGGCAGGGCCCGUGUACACAACGCAUGGAGAUUCAGAAUGUAUGGAUAUUGGAUUUCAAUAGCAUGUCUCUAUGCCUAUGCAUAUGGAUUUGAGUGCAUGGGUGCCUGUGUAGGCAUGUGCAAAUAUGCAUGCUUAUAAUUCAACAGUCUCAAUUAGCAAUCCGUGAUUUAUACCCUCCUGUGUAAUCUGGGUAGGGCUCUUCAGAUGAUCCUCUAAGACCCAGCCUGCUUUUCUAUAUACACUCCUAUCAGUGCUUCCUGUAUUCCUUCGUUUAUUUGAACCUCUGGAUGGGAAAGACUGCUCUUCUACCCUGAACAUUUUCCUAUUACAGUGCUCCUAUAGAAUUCUAGGUAUUUGGGUGGGGGUAUGUGAGCAAUCUUUUCUAAUUUAAAAAAGGGACACACAUUGAACCUGACACCCAGAUUAAAAAUUCCCGAGGCUUGCUGAGGUUGACUGUCUUGUUUCUCUUGAAGCAUGCUGUGCAUGUUAAUUUCGCCCAGAGAAUGUGCCUAAGGGAAACAUUUGGCUGCGGCCAUUGUAAGAAAAAUUCAUCAGAUGACUGGACACUGCUCUUCCAGAAGAUACACGGUAGUCAU
rnacentral:lncRNA from 1 species